CAAAACUUUAUUUUUUUAUAAUAGAUAAAAACUAUGUUCUAAGAUUAAUCCCUGAUGCAAAAUUAAGGAAGAUAAAAUACGGGAACAAGAGUAACCAAAUAAGUUAAAUUCAACUAAAAGACGAGCUCAUGAGAUUUCAUUCCAACAUUUAGAGAAAAUCUCGCUCCCAAAUAGAACUUCAAUUCUAAAACGCUCUCAAUAGCUUUUAACAAUUCUGCAUCAACAGCUUUUUGGUCAUCUUUCUUCUCUACUGGAAGCACAUUUCUCCUCUUUUUUUGCCUCAAAGAAUUCAGUCUCGCCCUUCUUCUUCUCAGCUUGCAUAGCCAAGUACUCGUCAUCGAGCUUCUCCACAUUCACCCUAGAGAUGUCAACCUUUUGUGGAACUAGCAACAACGUAGGCUUGGUCGACACGUAGAGGAAUGCCAUAAUCUUGAAUGGUCUGGUAACAAGCAACAAUCCAGAAGCAAGCUACUUCAAGAGAACAACACGCAUCCUCUUAAAUCUUCCAGUCAAUAUAAUUAACGCUGUCCUUGGAGUAAUACUUGCCCUAAGUUUUGUGGGUUUGUGCUUGCGCUUGUUGGAAAGCGGCUUCUUGACAUCAUCAGCUGGGUAGAAUUUGGGUGCAUUCUCGGCAGCUGGUUUUGCUGCUAUGGAUUUCUUCUAGUGGUUUGGGAAUUUGCCUCCAUUUUUGGCCUUGAUAGCCUAUAUUCAGUUAUUGGAGGUGGAGGCGUCCAUGUUUAAGUGAUAAUAAAACAUUAAUGCCACAAAUCCCAUUUCAUCAACAAAGAAAUUUACAUCUGUCUAUUCAACGCUCCACUUCCACCACGUCAAUUCUCACACAAUCAUCUUCACGGAUGAAAAACGUACUUGAACAGGGGAACUUAACUUGAAUCAAAAAUCAAAAUCAAAGUUUAUAGCAUUUUAAUCUAGAUACGAAAAGGGAGGCAAGCGCCGGAGAACUAAAAUUCACAAAACCAAGCCAUGAAGUGAAGCCUCCAAGAUUACCAAAAAGACUGCUUCUGAGUUCAAUUAACAAUCUAUGACCAACCCCUUAAACAUAAAAUCAGAAAACAUACGUCGUCAACGAAAAUUAAAAAUUAAAAGUAACAAAAAAAAGGUUCUUAGAGAAAUAUAUUGAUUUGGGUCCUGGGAGGCGAGAGACGAGAGUGAGAGGCACCGGUGGUGGAAGGCGGCGAGAAACAAGAGGGAGGGCUGAGGCACCUGAUAAAGUCGUGAGAGAUGAGAGGAGAGUGAAAUAUGUGGUUUGGAUGGAUUGCAAACAUAGGAUUUCUCUCAGCCAUCGGUUGGUUUUGGGGGUUUUGGAAGAUUUAGGGCGUAAUUAUUACGGUCAUUAUAGGUUUUAGUUUGUUUAAGCGUAUUAAUCUAGUUUGUUCACUUUUUAAAGUAGGG
rnacentral:lncRNA from 1 species